ensembl:lncRNA
CACGGGUAAUGUUUAAUUCAACAAAAUACUGAACAUGGCAGCAGAACCUGAAAUGACCCAAACUGGGGUAAAACAUCAUAUUUACCACAUUAGCAGCAGUAAAAAUAAUAAAAACCACAUCAACAGACCUCCAUCAUUCCUCAUCCUUCACAAGAAGCCAGCCGACACAGAGCCAGCAAAGGAUCAUGGGAAAUCUCCUCAGGUAGUCCUAACGUACGAACACUUCUUCAGGGUUUAUUUAUGUGAAACAGAGAAAUAAAAGAUGCAUCAACUACAUCAGUUAGCAGAUCUGCUGACGUUAUUUAUAUACAUCACACAUCAACACCUGAUAGCAUACAAAGUUUGGCUUCAACUAAAUUUGCACAACUUGCACUGCAAUACUUUAAUUAGAUUUCAAAUCCCUGAUUUGAUAAUAAAGAAAUCCAACUUAAUUCAACUGAUAAGAUGGACACGAGGGAAGAAGAUACAUGUAUACCACACAAACAAACAAACAAAUGUAAACUAAAUCAAACACAAGAGAGGAAGGUUUGCUUGUCCUCAGAGAACAGUUCCUCUGAACCUCAGAAGCCACUGAACCUGCGGAUGCUAGACUCAAAGCUAAAGACUUCGUGAAAUGCACCGAGCACCUGGCAAUCAAAUUCAGAGCACCUUCUGUUAAAAACUAAAACAGCAGAAAAUCUCCGUAAAUCACAGAAAAGCAGCUGGAUAUUAAAUCAUAUUGCUACCACAAAACAGAAUAAAAUACUUUAUAUAUAUUUAUGUAUAAAAAAGUCACAAUAUCUGAGGUAUAUCUAAUCACUGAGAGCAUGACAGUCGAGGUUCAGUGAUCGUGUUAGUGUUACACUGACCAGUGAGUCUGAUAAAAGCUGAACAACACUGGAGUCCAUGAGAUGAUUGAAGAGUACAGCACUACGGACAUUCAGUCUUCAACGCUGACGUUAUUGCGGGAAACAGGCGAGCUCUGAGAUAUCGCCACUGUUGAGAUGGAAAUCGAGAAACGUCUGGGUCAUAUUACAUCCCAAAAAUCAAAAGAAAAAAUAAGAAAUCUCAAAUCUAAUGAUGCAGAAAAACAAUGAAGCCUAUUUUAGGACAGUUUUUUAAUAUUGUGCUAUUUUCGUCACAUUUCAGCACUUUUUUCCCCAUUAUUGUAAAAAGAAAAUUACAUGAAUUAACUCAUUACUGUGAUGCAACAAAAAUAUAUUUAAACUGUUAAACACAACCGUAAAUAUAUUUUAGGUUAACUUUGGUUGUAUUUAACAUCAAUUAAAAAAUUAAAACAGUAUUUUUCUCUUACAGUAAUGAUAAUUCGGAGGAGAUAAUUGUUGCU